UUUGGUUAUGAUAUAACAAAU
rnacentral:piRNA from 1 species